GAAAAAGAGAAGAAGAGGCUAAACUGAUGAAGAACAAGAGGCUCAACCCAAAAGAAACAACUUCAAAGCAAAGAGAACACUGAGAGCAAGGAAGUAGAAAGCGGUAAGAAAAAGACAGCCAGUCUGUAAGUCAGCCUAAUGGACUGGAAGAACCUCUGGGACAACUCCAUUGGAUCAAGGUCUAGAAUAGGGAAACAGAUCUGGAUGUGCACUGCCCCUUCCUCUUGGGAGAAGCCCAAGUCCGUCCCAAAGUCAGAUCCGAGCCAUGGCAGGACAUGAAGCUUUCUGUCCUGCCCUGUUUGCACGGAGAGCCACAGAUUGCUCACUGCAGGUGACACAGCACUCAGCACCGGCAGAAUUCUGCAUCGCCGCCUGUGCAAUCAAGUACAAUGCUGAAGGCACUGAUGAGUAUGGGAAAACAACAUCACCAUUACGGCUAGGAAGGGGACAAACUAAAAGAGCCAAGAAAGGCCAGGGCAAAAAGGCAGAACAAAAGCAAGGAGAACACCCAGAAACAAAGGCAACAACAAGGACAAAACCUACAAAAACACCCAGAGGUAUUGUAGCAAUCAGAAGGACCAACGUGAUGGAAAAGGUGUUACAAAGAGGUGCAAGAAGUGGCACAAUGGCAAGGUGCUACAAGGGAAGGGAAGCAGAUCGCUCAUCCGUAUCAGAAGAUUCUGGGUUCACAGGGAAAGGUUUCCACCAAGGAGGGAUCUCCAGAAAGAGAUCCUUCCUCAGUGGCAGUCAUCCCUUCAGUGAGGCCUAAGAGGGGUGGAGCCUGGCCACCCUACAAGUGAAUUGCCUUCACCUGAAGUGUAAUGACAUAAAGUGGCUACACGGUGGCAGCAGAGACCGUGGAAUAAAAUGAAGUGUAAUAACAAGUUUGACCACACGGCGGCAGCAGACAGCGCGGAAAGAACGGAACUGCUGAGACAUAGGGGGAAUGUUUCUGAUACAGCCACAACUCCACACCAUUUUCCCGUUGACUUCUGGGACCAUGACUACUUAGCUCAUUGUGAUUAGGACUGAGGAUGCGAUGAUUGAACAGAAUCAAGUCCAAGUGUGGGGCAGGACCACCACUGUGUGGGUCCAGCUGUGCGGCUGCAAGUGUGGGGCUAGACAUGUGGGUCAGGUGUAUCUGAGUGAGGAUCCAAAUGUGGGGCUCGAUGUGUGGGGCUGCAGGACUUCAGUGUGGGUCCGUGUUUCGGUCAGGAUGUGCAGCUGAAGAACCCAAGUGUAGGUACAGGUGUGGGGCUGAGUGUGUCAGGCCGGAUGUGGGGCUUGAGGACUUGGGGGGGGCUCAAAGAGUGGGUCCUGGUGUGGGGCUUGUUGUGAAGGGCUGGAUGAGCUGGGUGUGGGGCUCCAAGUGUGGGUGCAAGUGUGGAGCUGGAUGUGUAGGACUAGACUUGGGGAACCCUUGGAACUCAAGGCUCAUGAGGAGGGAAAUAGGCAGGAAAACUCUUUUAGAUGUUACCUGUUUGAAGGCAUAAACCAGCCCCAUACUUCAAAAAUGUUAAAAGAAAAGGCUUAGAGUAAUCUCCUACCACAUUAUGCAUAUUUGGUCUAGAGAGCAGUCGGCAGAGCUCUGUAUCAUAAAGAACUUUGGUCAUCAGCACCAAGCUCCUAAGGUCCAACCAAACCAACUAAAUGUGCAUACGUUCAGACAGAAUCCUUAAGUAGGACAUUCAGGAAAAGCAUCAAAGAAAGCAUCUGAUUCACAUCCUUCUCAUUUGUUUUUGAAAAUCCAGAGGCCUUUGUGUUUGCUCCAUCUCUGGCCUGUGAAGCCUGAGCCUGCCAUUUGUUGGAAGUUCUUUUAACCAGACAUCAGAGAAUUUAGAUUGGACUGCAUUUUAGGAAGGCGUUGCGUGAGAUCAAAAAUAGUGCCUUGCCGAGCGAGAAAGUACAGACUAAAUAAUGGCUUAAUUCCUAAUGAACAAAGUUAAUUCCUCCUUUCCAGAUCACUUAAAGGGCUAACGUGAAACAAGACAAGCAGAAUGUGGGGAUGGUUUAGUGCUAUCUGCAAGUUAGCAUAGGACAUCACACAAGAACUGCUUCAAUCCUAGAAACUGUCCAAACCAGUGCAACAGCAGGGCUGUGUCCUAGGCUACAACACACUCAAUCUCUUCCCACAAUGCUGUUUGGAAAAGCCAACACAACAGAUAUUCCUCUCCUGGACUGGAUGUGCAGUUACACAGCAUGAAGACAACCGAACUCAGGAACUUUGUUGAUUUGCUUUGAGGCAUCUGAAAAAUCAGCUUGCCCAAGUAUACCAGGUUAGUCUAAAACAAGAAGAAAAACUGCUUGGUGUGUCCUGAAGAUGCUUGAAAAUGCUUUUCUUUCUAAAGUGGCCAUAAACCCUCAAUUCCUCUUUCCUAUUUUGCUGCCCCACAACCUCUACGCACUCCAAGAACGAUGGCACUUUUUGCCGCCAGCAUCUGCCCUCCAAGAGCUGGAGCCUCCUUCGGAACCGAGUUUUACUGCUACAGUUGAGAUUUCACACUGGGCCAAGCCUAGCACCGUGUUAUUUGGGGCCAAAUGAAAAGCUGACCAGAACUUCAGCUUGAAUCAAAAAAGGCACCGCUGCACUGGCAACACUGAUUCUACGGGAGUGGUGGCUUAAAUAAAAUUUGCAUUUUUGGUGUAUGUUUAUCUGGCAAGUGAGUAGUUGUGAACUGAUGCUCCUUACAGCUGUGUGGGGGCCCACUCAGGACAACUUAGAGCCUUCCUUCUGCAUCCUAAAGGCCUCUCGGGGCAACCAGGCUACUCUAGGGAAGUUUCUAGGGAGGGAAUCACCACCCAACCAAUCAGGUUGAUUCAAUGCCAGCUGGUUCUCACCAAGGGAAUCACCUUCUAUGCAGUCAGGUCCCACCCUAGAAAUGCACUCUUAUGCUCCAGAGUCACAUAGAGCCCUUCCUAGAGCCCUAGAGGUCUCUAUGGGGCCCACAGUGCAAUUUAGGGUACCCCAGGACACUCUCAUGGGCCAGGCAGGAGGCCCUCUGUGGUGCCCUAGAAGUCUCCCAAGGCCACACAGUAAGCUCUAGGGCAAGCUAGACAUGUCCCAGAUUCAGAAGCAUUUAUCUUCCUACUAAAGCCGUCCUUUGGAUAUUGGAAAAGUUUUGCACACUAUUGAUUGCUGUCUGUUUAGCUCUCACUCGUAUUCCCUGAGAUCAUUAGGUGUCCCUACCGAAACAGGGUUGUCAAAUCCAGUUUUUCUAAGAGUUAUUUCGCUGUAGCUCCUUCCAUCUUGCCCGUCAGACACACGAGCACAUACAAGUGUACUUUGUUGCACUGUCAUGGGUUAUUUCCCACGGAGGCUUUCCUGCAUUGCAAGUUUUCUUAGCUAGUCUCCUCUGAAAAGAGGCAGGGCUUGUGACUAUGUAUAACCCUUAUUUGGAGCCAGUUGUUGCCUUUCUUAGGAAAAUUGUAACAUGAUCAAAGGCUGAGCCUACCCUUUGAAACAUAGCAUGACUAAUAAGGUGAUCUGCAGAGAAGAGAUUCAGUGACAGUUACUUGGAUUGUAAGAAGACACCUGAUGACAGCUGAUUAUGAAAUGUAAAACUCCCUUUCGAUCUUGACCCUUGCCCAUCAAGCUUUCCAUCUCUCAGCUCUCACUUUACACAGCUGGAAUGCUCUUAUGGAUUGAGGACUGACUCCAUGCUCUCAUCACAGCAAAGCCUAAGCAGUCCAGGAGCAGUUCUACAUCCACAACAUCUGUAUCACACAACAAGGAUAUACUCCGCCGGAUGAAGAAGCAGUCCAUAAUGCCUAAAAGGGAUGUGACACCAUAGCCCACAGGAUAUUUCUUCUGUUACAGGCUCCUUAAAGAAAAGAAACCUGAGAGAUGAUUUUUCUCAAGAUAUUUUCCAUAAGUAAAUAUCACAGCCUGACUGUCUGCACUCUGGUCUGAUGUUUUAAAUAUCUAGUUCCUAGAGUUCAGUUUCCUUCUCAUUUAGCUAAUCACUAUGUAAUAGUUGUUGCCUCCUUUUGUUAGCCAAUACUACUAAGAGCUUGAUAUCCUGGAGUUAAAAUGUCACCCACUAAAAGCCAAAAAACAAACUGAUAAUUGAGCUUUCUUUCCUGAGAAACUGACUGCUUUCUCUUUUUUAAACUGUCUGGUUUGGUUGUCAGUCUUGCAUGUAGCUCAAUUAUCGUAGCCAAAAUUGCAGAUCUUGCUUCUCUCUGGUUUCCUCUGAUCACUUUGUCACCUAAAGGUCAUACUCAUUUUGCUGUGUUAUAUUCUCAAAUGCUCUGCUGUCAAGUAUUUGCAUUCCACUCAGUUCUCUAGAACUAUAUGCUAUACAUCUCACCAUACUGAGUGCCUUUCAGUGGUACAUCAAGUGAAGUGGCUAACAUCUGUCACUUCUUCCUUUUACACUCAUAACCUUCCCUACAGGAGAAGUGUGUGCCGUGGUAGUCCUUAGUUUAGUGGAAUGUUUUGGCUUUGAAUGUUUUCUUGGGAAGAUUUGGAGUUAUUUAUUUUGGUGUGUUUGGUGUUUGCUUUCCCUACACUUCUAGGUUAAGGGAGGCACAGUCAAAAGAAUUGGACUUGUUCUUGGAUGGGCAAAAUAAAAGAUGAGUGAUGGUCCUGGAGCCUGAUCAAGAGCAUUAGUAAUGCUCAUUUCAUAAAUUUGGAUCAGCCUGUAAUAAAGGCUGAUUUUCAAAGAAAGAAGAUGACCUGCUAGUCAUCUUGAUCAGUGAUUUGCUGCACUUAGAAAACUUAAUGCCUCAGGUGUGGCAAACACUGAGUUCUGUACAUCCUCUGGAUUGGACUAGUAUAUUAAAAUUAAAGUCAGUUUUUGAAAGAAUGGAUUAAGAGUGCUGAAGAGAGACAGAGAGGUAUAUUUGACACAUGGGAAAAGCAGCAAUUGUUUCCAAAAUCUCAAUCUGUAUCAAGGCAUACAUUCAAAAUACUGAUGCCUAAUGUUCAGUCUAAUAACUGCCCCCCCACACACACACACCUCCAGAUUAGAAUAACAAAGACAAGCAAAAUGAAUCUUAAAAUAUACUUAAUAUGCAAUGGUAUUUUGAUUAGGUUGAAGAGCUUUUGAUAUGGAAGAACAUACUGAGUAUCUGCGAGAAAAUCUUUGCACGGCCUUCUCAAUGUAGUUGCAAGUGCAAGUGUUCAUAUUUUAGUCUUAGGUGCACCAUUUAAAAGUCUAGCUCUCCCUAGGUUUCUCUGUCUUGGUGGAGUGAGAGGUUCCUCCAGAGAGCUGCUCAGAGUACCUAGUUUUACCCCAAAUCUAGCCAUCUGAGAUUCCUUUGACUAUAAUUCACAGACUUCUGGAUAUCUCUUUAUCUUAUUCUGUUAUUGAAGUUACUCCUUCUCCGUUCAUGUUUCUUAUGGGUUCUCUGCGCUUAUGUGUUUAGAAAGCAUCUCAUUCAGCCAUCUGCUCAAGGCAGUAUCCCAUGACUUGGAAAGUCAUUCAUGCUUACUGUUGAUAGAUUUUGUUUCUUUUUUUCCACUGAUGAGGGGGACAUUAGAUAUUGAUUCCUCUUAGAGAAUGUGGAUGGAGCAGAUUCAGAAUUCUAGAAAAACAUUUUGGAGUUGAUUUAUUAAGAUUCUACUGAAAAUGUUAAAGGAAACCUAAAUUUCUAGGAAUACACUGUAGUUGUACAAAGAUACAAAGAGACAGUAACUUCUAACAGGGAAAGGAUAAAGCAGUGGAUAAGCAGGAACAACAGGUUCAGUGGGAAUUUGCAUUAUGUGAUCAAGGUCGCAUGGGACACCUAUAGCAGAAUCAGAACAAGAAUCAAAACUAUCUACUUUUUCUGCAAUGUCUUUAUCCUGAGACAUUUAGCCAUUCCUUUUAGUAUUCUAGUGAGCUGCUAUGCAGCUCAGAUAUUUGGGAUAAGAGACUUUUGUGGUUAUUAUAUUUAUCAAAAUUUCUUUGCUUAGGUGCACGCUUUCAAAACGAACCCUUCCUAGUCACUGGCCUUCUGAUCUCAAUGUUUGUCACUUACCAUUGCUGAAAACAUACACGGUGAUGUAGUGGUUCUAAGUGACACUGGGCAUCUUGUUACAAAGCUUGGUGCUUCAUAAAUACACGGAAUCAUCAUGCUGCAUCAUCACUUUCCCCUUCUUGGCUAUAUACUCUGUAUGUUUGUAUUUGGUGAAAAUAAUAUCCCUUCACCAUAAAGAGCACAACAUCUAAGCUGCAACUCAUAUUACUACAUUUAAUUUGCUAAUGCUGUCAUACAGCCCCUGCAAGUCAUAAUUUACUGUGGGUAUCAUCACAGAACAACCUUGCUGGCCUUGUAAUUGUUACUGUGUCCAGAAAAAUGAGUUGCUGACCUUUUGCAAGUGCUAUUUCUGUUGACUGCUGAAAACAUUCAGAACAAAGUUACAUGUAUCUUAGGGGCCCAAGCCAGAGUCUUAUCUGCUUGCUAGUUCUCCAAAUCUUAGCAUGUCUGUAAAGAUAGCAUGGGGUAUUUCAAAGAAGAGCUCAGUUUAUACUCUAAGGGAGAGUGAGCUUCAGGACUUGCCUAGCGGUACUGAGAUAACAUCCCUUCUUUCUCCUUCAACAAUUGGUUAUGUUGAAUCAUGUUAAUGUAGCUUACAGUGUGCUUGUAACAGAAUAACGAGUUUGCAUCUGCCUGUACAUUUCAACGUAGAUAUACUGCUCACCAAUGUACAGUCUGCCUCACUGAGAGGUACUGCUGGUGGGGGUAGCCCAGUGCUAGUCUACACUGUAAGGACCUGAUUAGGAAUACAGUAGUGAGAAGUAAAAAAGGCAUUAUGUAUUCCACUGGUUCUAGGAUAACAGUUGCUGAAUACCCGUGAUUCUGUUCUGAAUCUCAACUCUUCUGGGUAUUACUUGUCCACGCUAGUUCGGAGCAAAGACCUCAAGCUGCUUCAUCAGUACAGGCUAAAGGUAAAGGAACUGCCAGUUCCACAAUCCUGCAGAUCAUAGACGAAAACCCCAUCUUUCUAAAUACAGUGGGUUAAAAAGAGUCCUGUGAAAGAUUUGAUAGAUUUCAAAACCAGAAACAUAUGAAAGUUCCCUGUAUUUUUCAGGAUGAAGGAUGAUGAAGCCCUGUUAGUUGAAUUACACUGGAGAAAUCUUAAAUAUGUCUUUGCUAAGGCUUGUGUCAUGGGGGAGCACUCUCCCAGCUGUCUCCUUUCAGAGCUGUACAGGGACAAGCAGAAGCAGCACAGAGGCAACGGUUUUGAUGCUAGAAGGCUAGAGGAGGGCUGUGAGAAGCUGAAAUUCCCACCCAACAACUUAGUUUCUGGUGCUGUAGACAGAUCAGUCCAGAAAAUGCAUCGCUUACCGUCCUGUCUGUAAAAUGAGGAUAAAGAUCUUGCCAUUCUUAAAGGACUUGGUGAUCUACUCAUGGGAAGAUGUAUACAUGAUCUUAAGUAAUCAGUCUAACCCCCUGAUUCUAUAUAAAAUGAACUGAAGCAAGAUUUUGGGGAGCACAGUGCUGCUUUCCAGAUGUCACUGUUCACUAUCCCAAUGUUCAUUCCUUAGCUGGAUCCAUCUAGCCUAUCUAGUCCAUUGUUUGUAGACUAGUGGCUUUCAGUUCCUCACACUAGCACUUAGGUACUGCUUAAAAAAUGCUUAGUAUCAGCUGUGAUUAAAGGUUUUUGAUGAAGCAAACCAAAAGUGAGAAGAGAAUGGUUUUAUCUGCCUCUUUCUGUGAAUAUCUCAUAAGCAUAGAUUAAUAACAAAAUUAGCCUAGAUAAAUGACACAGUUCUUUGUUACUCAGCUAUUUUCAGUCUUGAGCAAGGCUCAUGACUUGCGCUGAAGGUCACAAGUUUAAACCAACUUGUUGACCUGUGGGUUAAACUGGCAUACUAAGGCACAAGCAAAAUUACUUCCUAUGGUGAAAUGCUCAAAUAAGCUGUUCAAAUAUUUGGCAAAAGCCUGAUAACUGUUGUUCAGAGAGUUGCAUGAGGAAGAGGGAAGUGGUUUCUAGUUGCAUCCGUUUUUCACAGUCAAGUUCUGUGCAGUCCUGGGUAAAUCAGUGGUCAGUGUCAUCCAAGUCUCAGCUUUUUCAUUGUCUGCUUACAGGGAGGACAAAAGUCUGUAUGUGCCUAGCCAGGUAACUCAAGGCACAGUGAUGGGCAUGCAGUGACCAUGGCAUGCUCUCUUACCUUCUAUACAGACACAUUCUUCCUGCAGCCCCCAAAAUAACAAGAAUGGCCACUGAAGUUGUGCUGUCAGUUAACCAACUACCAUCCCAGAAGCAGGAUACCAGUUUUCUUGGUACUGUGACCAAAGCACUGAUGUGGAAGCUCUCUCUGAAUCACAUGUCUUUAUAUUAUCACCAUGUUCUAUCCCGUUAGACGGCAGAUGCCUGGGGAAAUGACUUUGCACUAAAUGUAAAUAUUUUAAGUAACUCCAGUUGGUCUAGGACAAUUAAUGCUGGAUAGUAAUUACACUGAGAUUGUGUCUUACUAUUGUCUUCCCUGUUAUUGUUUGAGCAGUUGCUUUUUGGAAAUAUGUUUAAUGUGUGCCAUGAGGUUCUAGACCUUUUCAGUUCCAAAGAUUACAAGCUCAAAUAAUGCUCUCAUAACCUUGUUAUUAUAGGAGGUUGCUGUAGCUGAAAAGCAGUCUCUUUGCAAUGUCCUCACUAAUUCCAUGAGUAGAAAUUUAUAAGCAGCUGAGGUAGGUUCCUCUUUAGUUCAAAAGUCCCUGAUCAGCAAGGAAGAGAGAACAGAACCAGCAAAAUGAAGCACAUUUAGUUAUCUACGAAAGAUCAGGUAUGAAGCCAGAGUUGGAGGAGGCGAUGGCUCACUGGAAAGAAAAUGUGACUCCACUGAGGUCAAAGGAGUUGCAACAAAAUGCAUCUAUAGCCCCAAUUUUUUUUUAGUUUCCAUGUUAACAUUCCUUCUUAUUCACUUACGGCAUGUCCCUCCCAGUAUUCUACUCAUCCACUAAAUUUUCCCUGCCCUUUCUCUUUGGAGUGUUGGGGCUUUGGUUUAAUUUAUAGAGAGACAUAUCUUUUUCUAAAAGAAACCAAUACUUUGUAUAAACAAUUUUCAAAAUCAAGACCAAAGCCUGCAUUCAGAUUUUAGCAACAUAGCUAUAAAUCUCAAAUAACUGCAGGAACUAGUAAAAUAACUAUAGAUUUAUUUUCUGGUAUUAAAGCUGAAACUGGAAUGUUCACUGUUAUACUUUAAAUUACUGGCACAGCACAUACAUAUUUACCUCUAUUAAAAGCCUCAGAUCCUUCCUCCCAUUAUGUUUAAUGUGAAUAUGCAAGCCUGGGUUCUGUCUUCAGUAAAGUCUUUUCCAAUCCUUCAGGAGUUGUAUGGUUAACAUUAAGUGACAGCUCUUAGUGAAUGUUUGACUCUAUUGCCAAUUGCUCUUACAGUCAGGGGUUCAAUGAAAGUUAAAUAUGUCACCAAAAGUGACAGUAGCCAAAAGUUAAAUAGGUUGUUAGCAUGUUUUAACACUUAGGAUUUCCCUCCAAAACAAUGCAAAACAACAGAACAGGUUGUAGAAAGCUGGGAGGGAUAUGGAGCAAGAAAAGCAAAGAAUUCUGAGGGAGGUGGGGUAACUCCAGUUAGAAGAAGAGACAAACAUACAUAGUGAUUUAGCCAUGACCAAAUGGUGGGAAUUUUAUGUUGUGCACAGGCAUGUGUUGGAUGCUUUGCUAAGGAUGCUUGAGGAGCUCAUCAGCCAGCAUUAUCACUUAGGAAAACCGCUAUCAGUCCUUUGCUCGAGAAAUGGCUUAAGAGCCCUGGAUAAUUUCACAGUCAAAAUUAGAGUAGUUUAUGAAGUGCUUGGGGAAUGCAAAGCAAGAUAGUGAAGUACCUAGCAGCAGAUUACACCCAAAGCAUGGGGAAGAACAACAUGCUCCUCGUCUCUUAACAUUCCUGAAACCUUCAGAGGUUUGGCAAAGGUGUUUCUUAGAACAAAAACAGACAGACAACAAUUAGAUGAUUUAGGGAACAAAAACGCUAGCCAUUUGAGUAGAAGUUUUGCAUGUCUUUUGGCAACUUCAUGGUGGGAGCAUGGAAGCAUGCAGCUGAGUCCCAUCCUUAAAGGAUGUCAAGGUGCUGACUGCAGACCUGUUGCUUCCUGUAGUGUUGGGUGGCCCUGCUCCUUUAACAUGCAAAAUCCAAAGGACAGUGAUCAUGGUAGUAAUUUUUCAUCCUUCCUCCUGGGGAUUUGCUUGUGAGGUCCUCAGCCUGGGUAACUCUCAUAGCAUAACAGAGACCCAUAAGUCUUUUGGCUACUUCUCCUUUUUUGCUCACUUGUACCCCAGUCUUGGAUUUUCUGGUGAUGUCACCUCUGUGCCCCAGACUGGGUAGGCUGAGUGCUGUGGAAAAAAAUAGCUAAUAAUAAGCCACAUUUUAAGAUGAAGUACAUGAUGAAGCAGGUGCUAAGUGGGAGAUGUGAUUAAGGAACUGGUUUUCGUGAAAUGGCAGUAGAUUUUUUCCACCUCUUCUGUAACAGAGCACUCUGGGACAGGUGCUUACAAAAAAAUGUCCUAUUGCUGAGGCCUUCCCCUUGCCUGGCAGUCCUGUAUAAGCUGGUGCUGGGCCAGAGUAUCAUGUUGCCUUCUGCCAUGAAAAGCUAGAACUUUGAUCUGGAAAGAAUUGGAACUGCCCAUGGAAUGCUGUCAGACACACGAUCGGAUAGCAAUUUGCUGAGAAGAGGAUGACUGUGCCUCAAUGUUAUCCGAGAUCACUAUUGAGAAAACAAAGUUUGCAACCAUGGCAGCAACUGCUGUCUCUUAAACGUUACCCUUGACAGGGCUUGGCACCCUAGUGUGUUGUAGAGACUGUUAGCUCUGCUAGUCCUUUUUGUAUUAAGUGAACAUGGCAGAAAGUGCCAAAAGACCUUGGAGAAGCUGGGAAUGGCUGCUCAUUUUGAUGUCUGUGAAUUAUGUUUCCACACAUAUUUGCAGACAUAUGCCUAGCGUACACACACUUUUAUUUCUCUACCGUCAUUAUUGCGGUGUUGUGAUAACCCGUGGUGCCAUGAACAGAAAAGUUGCCUGUCAGUUAUGUUAAACACCUGAAGACUCUUGGCUCUUAGCCCGCACAAGGUGAUUGUUAUCUUCAACUGUUUUCAAAUAAGCUUCUCAGAGCAAAACUGAUGAUUCAGACAAGCUGCUGAGAUCAUAAAUCAUUUUUAAUGUUAACAAUGUUUACAGCCCUUUAUUUAGUUGCUGAAAUCUUGUAAUCUUCACAGCCAUCCAGCUGUGAAACCUCAUCGGAAAAGCAAUUGUUCAUGCAUAUUCAACUCACGUGAUCCUAGGAUCUAUUUCUGUUAUUUAGGUUACUCAAAGUCUUUCUACAACAAAGGCACCUCUCUAAAUCCUUGGUACAUAAAUACUAGUGGAUUACUUUGCUCUUAGGCUAGCCUGAGUUAGUAGGAUGUCUUUUUUCAAGGUCUGAAAUGUGAACAACUUUAAAUUGUUUCUAGAAAACAUUUAUGUUUUCUAGAAUGGAAAAAAUGGUGUGUUCCUUUCUGUGUCUUUUGGGGAGAGAAAGGACGGUAACACUUCAUUAAGAACAGAAAGGUCAUCUGAAAUUACCAGAUUAGGGGCAAUAAGAAACCAGAUGAGGUUUAACAAAAGCAAGUGCAGAGUCUUGCACCUGGGAAGGAAUAACUGCAAGUAUCCAUACAGGUUGGGGCAUGACCCACUGGAGAGGAGCUCUGCAGAGAAGGACCUGGGGGUCCUGAUGGACGACAGGAUGGCCAUGAGCCAGCAGUGUGCCCUGGUGGCUAAGAAGGCCAGUGGGAUCCUGGGGUGCAUUAAAAGAAG